GACGAACGCUGGCGGCGUGCUUAACACAUGCAAGUCGAACGGAAAGGCCCUGCUUUUGUGGGGUUCUCGAGUGGCGAACGGGUGAGUAACACGUGAGUAACCUGCCCUUGACUUUGUGAGAACUUCAGGAAACUGGGGCUAAUACCGGAUAGGAGAUCCUGCUGCAUGGUGUGGGUUGGAGAGUUUCGGCGGUUCGGGAUGGAUUCGCGGCUUAUCAGCUUGUUUGUGGGGUAGUGGCGUACCAAGGCUUUGACGGAUAGCCGGCCUGAGAGGGUGAACGGGCACAUUGGGACUGAGGUAGGGAGCAGAAUCCUACGGGAGGCAGCGGUGGGGAAUAUUGCACAACGGGCCGAAGCCUGAUGCAGCAGUGCCGCGUGCGGGAUGAUCGCCUUCGGGUUGUAAACCGAUUUCGCAUGUGACGAAGAGUGAGUGACGGUAAUGGGUAAAGAAGCACCGGCUAACUACGUG
rnacentral:rRNA from 1 species